rnacentral:rRNA from 1 species
UACGAAGGGGGCUAGCGUUGCUCGGAAUCACUGGGCGUAAAGGGUGCGUAGGCGGGUCUUUUAAGUCAGGGGUGAAAUCCUGGAGCUCAACUCCAGAACUGCCUUUGAUACUGAGGAUCUUGAGUUCGGGAGAGGUGAGUGGAACUGCGAGUGUAGAGGUGAAAUUCGUAGAUAUUCGCAAGAACACCAGUGGCGAAGGCGGACUCACUGGCCCGAGUACUGACGCUGAGGCACGAAAGCGUGGG